AUUUGUGUAUCAACAAUUGUGGUUUCUUUGGAAGUGCAGCCACAAAGAACAUGUGUUCCAAGUGCCACAAGAUAUGCAGUUGAAACAGGAGCAAGCAAAGCUUGCUGCAUCAACUACUGGAAAUAUUGUGAAUGGAUCUUCAAGCAACAACAUUGAACAAACUGUUGUUCUUGACACUGUAGAUGUUUAAGUCAACACAGUUGAGUUAAAAACCAUCUCUGUGCAUCCAUCCUGUGCUUCAGUGU
rnacentral:misc_RNA from 1 species